rnacentral:rRNA from 1 species
UACGUAGGGUGCAAGCGUUAUCCGGAAUCACUGGGCGUAAAGCGUGCGUAGGUGGAUGUUUAAGUGUGAUGUUAAAUCGUGGGGCUCAACCCUGUCGAUGCAUCGCAUACUGGACGCCUAGAGGGAAGCAGAGGCAAGUGGAAUUGGUAGUGUAGCAGUGAAAUGCGUAGAUAUUACCAGGAACACCAAUGGCGAAGGCAGCUUGCUGGGCUUCUUCUGACACUGAGGUACGAAAGCGUGGGGAGCGAACAGG